rnacentral:rRNA from 2 species
UGGUUCGAUCAUACCAGCACUAAUGCACUGGAUCCCAUCAGAACUCCGCAGUUAAGCGUGCUUGGGCGAGAGUAGUACUAUGAUGGGUGACCUCUUGGGAAGUCCUCGUGUUGCACCUC